AACGAACGCUGGCGGCAGGCCUAACACAUGCAAGUCGAGCGAGAUCUUCGGGUCUAGCGGCGGACGGGUGAGUAACGCGUGGGAAUAUGCCUCUUGGUACGGAAUGGCCUCGGGAAACUGGGAGUAAUACCGUAUGUGCCCUUUGGGGGAAAGAUUUAUCGCCAAGAGAUUAGCCCGCGUUGGAUUAGGUAGUUGGUGGGGUAAUGGCCUACCAAGCCGACGAUCCAUAGCUGGUUUGAGAGGAUGAUCGGCCACACUGGGACUGAGACACGGCCCAGACUCCUACGGGAGGCAGCAGUGGGGAAUCUUAGACAAUGGGGGCAACCCUGAUCUAGCCAUGCCGCGUGAGUGAUGAAGGCCUUAGGGUUGUAAAGCUCUUUCAGCUGGGAAGAUAAUGACGGUACCAGCAGAAGAAGCCCCGGCUAACUCCGUG
rnacentral:rRNA from 1 species